CAUGUCUUUUUGUUUAUUAUAUAAAGUUUGAUCUGCCCUAUGAAACAUUUUAAAUGGCCGCAGUAUAUUGACUGUGCAAAGGUAGCGUGAUAAUUAGUUUUUUUAUUGAAAGCUGGAAUGAAUGAUUUGACGAGAAAAUUACUUUCUUAAGUUAAAUAUUUAAAUUUUAUUUUUGAUUAAAAAAGAUCAAAUGAAUUUAAGGGACGAGAAGACCCUAUAGAGUUUAAUAAUUUAUUUUAAUUUUAUUUAUAGGAUAUAAUAUUUUUUAAUUGGAGAAUUAUUUGGUUGGGGUGAUUAAAAGAUUAAUUAAACUCUUUUAUUAAGAACAUAUAUUUAUGAUUAUUUUGAUCAAUUUACAUUAUUUAAAGAAAAAAUUACCUUAGGGAUAACAGCAUAAUUUUUUAUUAAGUUCUUAUUGUAAUAAAUGAUUGUGACCUCGAUGUUGGAUUAAAAUGUUAAAUAGGUGUAGAAGCUUAUUUGGUAAGUCUGUUCGACUUUAAAAAUUUUACAUGAUCUGAGU
rnacentral:rRNA from 1 species